AGAGAGAGACAUGCGCGCAUAUCAAUAAGCGGAGGAAAAGAAACUAACAAGGAUUCCCCUAGUAACGGCGAGUGAAGCGGGAAGAGCUCAAAUUUGAAAUCUUAAAGGGUUUCCCUUUACGAAUUGUAGUUUAAAGAAGUGUUUUCUGUUGAGGUUUUGGUAAAAGUUCUUUGGAAUAGGACAUCAUAGAGGGUGAGAAUCCCGUAUUUGACCUUUACUUUCAACUUUGUGAUACACUUUCAAAGAGUCGGAUUGUUUGGGAAUGCAGUCCAAAAUGGGUGGUAAAUUUCAUCUAAAGCUAAAUAUUGGCGAGAGACCGAUAGCGAACAAGUACCGUGAGGGAAAGAUGAAAAGAACUUUGAAAAGAGAGUUAAACAGUACGUGAAAUUGUCAAAAGGGAAGCGUUUGACACCAGUGUUGUUUUUCUGAAAAUCAAUUAAAGAACUGUUUAUGCUAAGUUGUUUAGACUUUAUCAGCUAACUGUUUAGUUUUGAGCUUUUCUUUAAUGCACUUUUCAGUUAACAAGUCAACAUCAAUUUCUUUUGCUGUAAAAAAGCUUGAGGAAGGUGGCUUGAGAUUCGUCUUAAGUGUUUAUAGCCUCUUGCCUAUGCAGUCGGAGAGAUUGAGGUCUGCAGCGUAGAUCCUUCGGGGCUAAAUGCAUUUGUGCUAAGUUAUAGCAUUUUAUAGACAACUUGUUGACUAUGAUUUGUCUUGUAGCUUACUCGCUUAUGCUAUUUUACCUACGCUUAGGAUGUUGAGCGCAUGUCUCUCUC
rnacentral:rRNA from 1 species